CGGUAUUUCAUUUUAGUAAAAACGAGAAUCAAGAAGUGUUAAAACUGCCAGUGAAAAUGGAUACUAUCAUGUACCUCAAAAAAGCAUUGUCCUCCGGGAACUCGAGCGUGUGUCGUUUGUGCCUGUCGCCCGAUCUGGCUUCGGAACCACUAAAGCAAAACGAAAUUGGCAAAUAUCUUAUACAAAAAAUCUUCGAUUGUACAAGCGUUCAGAUCAUGCCUUUAACAGGCAUUUCUUCGGUCUUGUGUACCGUUUGCAAAAGACGUGUCGAAAACUUUUAUCUGUUUCGUUACCAGUGUAUUAAAAACAACGAAGUUCUGAACGAAUUUGCCGC